ACUCAAAUGAAUUGACGGGGGCUCACACAAGCGGUGGAGCAUGUGGCUUAAUUCGAGGCUACGCGCAGAACCUUAUCCCGGGCUUGACAUGCACGGAUUAGCCGGCGGAAACGUCGGCGAGGCCGAAAGGUACAACGUGCACAGGUGCUGCAUGGCUGUCGUCAGCUCGUGCCGUGAGGUGUUGGGUUAAGUCCCGUAACGAGCGAAACCCCUGCGUCCAGUUGCCAACGCGUCAUGGCGGGGACUCUGGACGGACCGCCGGCGUUAAGCCGGAGGAAGGCGGGGAUGACGUCAAGUCCUCAUGGCCCUUAUGCCCGGGGCUGCACACGUGCUACAAUGGGGCGGACAGAGCGCCGCAAGGCCGCGAGGUCAAGCUAAUCGCAAAAACCGCCCCCCAGUUCGGAUUGCGGGCUGCAACCCGCCCGCAUGAAGCCGGAAUCGCUAGUAAUCGCCGAUCAGCACUGCGGCGGUGAAUGGGUUCCUGAGCCUUGUACACACCGCCCGU
rnacentral:rRNA from 1 species